rnacentral:rRNA from 1 species
GACGAACGCUGGCGGCGUGCUUAACACAUGCAAGUCGAACGGAAAGGCCCUGCUUUUGUGGGGUGCUCGAGUGGCGAACGGGUGAGUAACACGUGAGUAACCUGCCCUUGACUUUGGGAUAACUUCAGGAAACUGGGGCUAAUACCGGAUAGGAGCUCCUGCUGCAUGGUGGGGGUUGGAAAGUUUCGGCGGUUGGGGAUGGACUCGCGGCUUAUCAGCUUGUUGGUGGGGUAGUGGCUUACCAAGGCUUUGACGGGUAGCCGGCCUGAGAGGGUGACCGGCCAAAUUGGGACUGAGGUACGGCCCAGACUCCUACGGGAGGCAGCAGUGGGGAAUAUUGCACAAUGGGCGGAAGCCUGAUGCAGCAACGCCGCGUGCGGGAUGACGGCCUUCGGGUUGUAAACCGCUUUCGCCUGUGACGAAGCGUGAGUGACGGUAAUGGGUAAAGAAGCACCGGCUAACUACGUG